UGUUAAAAAUUUUAUCUAUUUCUAUUGUUAAAAACUGAUGUAGCUGAUUGAAUAACUAGAUAGUUUACACAUGACAUGCCAUGUGUACCUCGUGCUGACGUACAAGGACCAGUUUUUAACAAUUAAAAUGGAUGAAAUUUUUAAUA
rfam:Gossypium hirsutum cultivar TM-1 chromosome 6, whole genome shotgun sequence